AUUGAACGCUGGCGGCAUGCCUAACACAUGCAAGUCGAACGAGUGGCGGACGUGUGAGUAAUGUCUGGGAAACUGCCCGAUGUAGGGGGUUAACUACUGGAACCGGUAGCUAUUCCCGCAUUCCAUCGGAUGUGCCCCGCUGGGCUUAGCUAGUAGGUGGGGUAACGGCUCACCUAGGCGACGAUCCCUAGCUGGUCUGAGAGGAUGACCAGCCACACGGGAACUGAGACACGGUCCAGACUCCGAAGGGAGGCAGCAGUGGGGAAUAUUGCACAAUGGGCGCAAGCCUGAUGCAGCCAUGCCGCGGGUAUGAAGAAGGCCUUCGGGUUGUAAAGUACUUUCAGCGAGGAGGCGUUACUCGCAGAAGAAGCACCGGCUAACUCCGUGCCAGCCGCCGCGGUAAUUC
rnacentral:rRNA from 1 species